GGUUUGCCGAGCCCGGCUGCCCAACCAAGUGUCUGGGGCCAGCGGCUCCCGGCGUUCUCCUAAGCCUGUGGCUUCCCUGGGGAUCCCUGGGACUCGCUGUCCCAGACAGAGCCUCACCCACUUUGGAGCUGGUUCUCCCAAGUGCAGGGCCCGAGGGUAUCGUGGCUGCCAGGGCGGGGCAGGAGCAGAAACUGAACAGGCUGUACCCAAGAAUGCAAACGGCGUGAGAACAGGGAAGGGCGCCGGCAACAGCGACACUGGCAGCUGCGUCCUGCCCACACAGCUGGCAUGGGAAUUCCCCGCCUGGAGCCCGCGCUGCUCAUGUCUUCGUUGAAGAAGGGAUAAGGGGCUAAGUAGGGGGUGUCCCUGACCAAUGGGACCUAGGGUCUAACUUGACCCACAGGAUGGCUGCUCUGUCCACCCCAGCCCUGUGGAUAUCUCUUGCCCACCCAGCCACGGCAAAAAUGAGGCGCCCCCCACCAUGGUGACCCUGUCUGCCAGCCCCAAAUUUGAGACUCAGAGUUGGACAGGCCAGAGUGCGGAGGAACACCAGCCCCCUGGAAGCCCCUGGAAUACGAAGCCGUCACCGCUGAGAUCAUCCGUGUGUAAUUCAGCGGCAUGAAGCAUAUCCACAUUGUUGUCAGUCAUCGCCACCACCCAUCCCCAGAACUUCCCAUCCUCCCAGACUGAAAGCCCGUCCCCUUUGAACGCUGCCUCCCCACACCCCUCCUCAGUCCCCAGCACUCACCAUUCCACCUCCUGUCUCUACGAACCGGACGCCGCUAGGGACCUCAUACAAGUGGAACCACCCGGUGUCGGUCCCUGUGUGCCUGGCUUAUUUCACUCAGCAUCAGGUUCUCAAGGUCCGUCCAUGUUGUGGCGCGUGUCAGGAUGUCCUUGCUUUCUGAGGCCAGAUCCUACGUGGUCUGCGUAGACCAUCUUUCACUUGCUCACGCCUCCAUCCACGGGCGCUCCAGUGGCUUCCAUCUGUCGGCUGCUGUGAAUAAACCUGCUGUGAACACGAGUGUA